rnacentral:rRNA from 1 species
AGUGAACGCUGGCGGUAGGCCUAACACAUGCAAGUCGAACGGCAGCACAGUAAGAGCUUGCUCUUACGGGUGGCGAGUGGCGGACGGGUGAGGAAUACAUCGGAAUCUACUUUUUCGUGGGGGAUAACGUAGGGAAACUUACGCUAAUACCGCAUACGACCUACGGGUGAAAUCAGGGGAUCUUCGGACCUUGCGCGAUUGAAUGAGCCGAUGUCGGAUUAGCUAGUUGGCGGGGUAAAGGCCCACCAAGGCGACGAUCCGUAGCUGGUCUGAGAGGAUGAUCAGCCACACUGGAACUGAGACACGGUCCAGACUCCUACGGGAGGCAGCAGUGGGGAAUAUUGGACAAUGGGCGCAAGCCUGAUCCAGCCAUACCGCGUGGGUGAAGAAGGCCUUCGGGUUGUAAAGCCCUUUUGUUGGGAAAGAAAAGCAGCAGGUGAAUACCCCGCUGUUCUGACGGUACCCAAAGAAUAAGCACCGGCUAACUUCGUG